UACGUAGGGGGCAAGCGUUGUCCGGAAUCAUUGGGCGUAAAGCGCGUGUAGGCGGCCCGGUAAGUCCGCUGUGAAAGUCGGGGGCUCAACCCUCGAAUGCCGGUGGAUACUGUCGGGCUAGAGUCCGGAAGAGGCGAGUGGAAUUCCUGGUGUAGCGGUGGAAUGCGCAGAUAUCAGGAGGAACACCGAUAGCGAAGGCAGCUCGCUGGGACGGUACUGACGCUAAGGCGCGAAAGCGUGGGGAGCGAACAGG
rnacentral:rRNA from 1 species